CCGACUCGUGUUGCAGGUGCACAUGUGGUCACGCAGGGCACCUUGAGACGUUUACUUCUGGCCGUGAACUCAUGAUGAUGCUGAAGCCCGCGAGGAGACCUGCCUUGUGUGCAACAGCAGAAAAGACAUUAUGAAAAACAUACAGAUUUUAAAAGGACCAGAUGAAAAUUCUAACCACGGAAAGUAAAGACUGACACGUUUUGCAAGGACUCCCCUGGUGAUCUGCAGUGAAGACUCCACACUGCCAACGCAGGGAGUGCACCUGUGUGUAAAACUCAAGCUCUAGACCGCUUCCCCGGUAGUUCAGCUGGUAAAGAAUUCCUGGGUUGGGAAGGUCCCCUGGAGUAGGGAUAGGCUACUCACUCCAGUAUUCUUGGGCUUCCCUUGUGGCUCAGCUGGUAAAGAAUCUGCCUGUAAUGCAGGAGACCUGGGUUUGAACCUGGGCUGGGAAGAUCCCCUGGAGAAGGCAACGACUACCAUUCCAGUAUUCUGGUAUUCUGGCCUGGAGAAUUCCAUGGACUGUAUAGUCCACAGGGUCACAAAGAGUCAGACACGAUUGAGCGGCUUUCACUAAUAAUGCCAGACCACUGAGACCACUAGUCUACUACAGGGCACAGGCAGAACCACCCGCUCCCCUACCCAAAACCCCAGUCCCCUCCUCCAGGGUUUGCCUCCUUUUCCUCGGUCCCAGGGAUCUCUCUUCCCAUCUUGGGAGCUCAGCUAUGAAUUGAAAUUGCUGUCUGGCUUGUGGGUGUAGUCUAUCUAGCAUUUCUGGAUGUUUGGAGUAGACCUGCUUUGAGUUCUCCAAUCUGGCAAGUCUCAGGGAACAGAAGUGUAACACACAUUGUUUUAAACCCCAGGAGAUUUCAUAUGAAAAUCUGCACUGCUGGCUUCCCUUGCUGGGAGACACAGAAGGGGAGACUGGGCGCUCUUCGGAUCCGCAAGGCCCUUGUUGGCCACCAAUGCAUCCAGCUGGGCUCUCUGGCUGGCGGGUCUCCCGCACUCCUUCCCCGCCGCCCCCUCCGCCCCUUCCCAGCUG
ensembl:lncRNA